UAUUUCAUGGCUCAUGUGACAUUAAGUGAGCUCACUUUUGUUAAUAGCAGACAGGUGUCUAAACCAUAAAACUCAAGAGCUCUUCUAACACAAUUCAUCCAUUCCAGUAGCAAUAUUAGAGAAGUCAACAAAACUAAGAAAGACGCCACAUAAUAUUUUCUGUCUGGGAGCUGCAGCUGAUGCUUUUCGGCUUCAGGUUUCAGACAUCACGGAAGAAAUAAAUUGAAAUUGGAAUGGUUGAAAGACAGAAAACUCACCUCCCAAGAUUUUAAUAGUUUGAGCCUGCCCAGCUCCUAUUUGAAAAGAAGAGAAUUCAAAGAGACUUCUGAAGAGCCUUUGAAAUAGAUGGCAAAAUUCCAGCUUAAAUAUUUUUCUUAACAAAGAAUCGAUUGCAGCAGAUGGAGCAUGCAAGAGCUGAGAAAGCAUAUGUACAAAUGCUGUGAGGCAUGGAAAAGGAGGAACAAACGUAACAGGGUUCCCAUAAAACAUAACCUUUGCGAAGGAAGGAAGGAAAGUAAAUCCAGGUUGUGGUGCUUUUAGAAUAACUGAUACAGGCUUAGAAAAACUUGACUCAAGUUUUAAAAUUAACUACUAUCUUGGGGAAUGGCAGCUGGUCAAAGACUGCACAUGGAAAAGCCCUAAAAAGUAUUUUGCCUGAAGAGUGUAUGUAAUGAAUAAUCACCCAGUGAAUGAAUAGUCACCCAAAUCCCUACCUUUGGAAGGAAAGUUAAAAAAAAAAUAGAAGCACAUGCAAAUGUAAUUCAAAAUGCAUAAAUGUAUAUAGGCUUCUGUUGACUCAGGUCACGAUUUCAUCUCUAGCUUAGUAAAAAUGACUUACAUCUGAUUGGAGGCUUAUUAGUCUGAGAGAGAUGGAGCAUGAGAUUUCCUAGAAUGAUACCUUUUAAAAUAGAGAGGCAGUAAUGGGAAUGUGGUUAUUCCCAUGAAGGGGAUCUCUAAAUGUUCCACUCCUGAUCCUAAUGUUUCCUUCUACCACUUCUUCAUAGAAGUAUCAGAUUCAACAAGUGUUACCAUUAGCCACUUGUCUUCAAAAAAAUCUUACACAGACUUGGUUCACUUAGGAAGAGGUAAGUGGUAAUUCUCCUUCUUUUGAUAACUGUUUGAGCUGAAAGAUUUGUGCUAAAAGAGUUGUUUUGGUAUAGUGGUUAAGGCACUAGAUUAGAAAGUGGCAGACCAUGAGUUCAAGACACAUCUUAGCCAUGAAAGUCAAUUGGGUGACUUUGGGCCAGUCAUUCUCAGCCCAGCCCAUCUUGCUGUUGUUGUUGUUGUUGUUCUGGGAACAAUAGGAGGAGAAAGGCAUGCUGGGUAUGUUCACCACCUUAUUUAUAAAAAUAAUAAAGUAUAUUAUAAGUAUAUAAGUAUAAGACAAAAUGGAGCAAGUCCUUCCUCUUUUUAAAAGCCCACUGAAAGGAGAAAUAAGCAAUUGCUUUUUUGAAUGUCUUUGCCUGUAGUGGGUUCCACUUAUCUUUGCUACUGGUUUGGAACCAGGAGUGUGUGUGUGCGUGAAUGAGCUUUGCUUGCAUGCAACACUUUUGCACAUGCGCAGAACCUUCUACACAUGCGCAA